rnacentral:rRNA from 1 species
AUUGAACGCUGGCGGCAGGCCUAACACAUGCAAGUCGAGCGAGCGGCGGACGGGUGAGUAAUGUAUGGGGACUGCCCGAUAGAGGGUGAUAACUACUGGAAACGGUGGCUAAUACCGCAUACUAUCGGAUAACCCAUAUGGGAUUAGCUAGUAGGUGGGGUACAGGCUCACCUAGGCGCCGAUCUCUAGCUGGUCUGAGAGGGUGAUCAGCCACACGGGGCGUGAGACACGGCCCAGACUCCUACGGAGGCAGCAGUGGGGAAUAUUGCACAAUGGGGGCAAGCCUGAUACAGCCAUGCCGCGUGUAUGAGGAAGGCCUUAGGGUUGUAAAGUACUUUCAGCGGGAAGGCGUUACCCGAAGAAGAAGCACCGGCUAACUCCGUGCCAGCAGCCGCGGUAAUUC